CGCAUCAACCCCCUUCCCCUAACUCCCUCCCCCCUUUGUUCCUCAUUCAGAAUCAGAAUCAAAAGCAAAUCUUCAAAGUCUAUAAAUUAGGGUUCUACCGGCGCCGUUCGUUGUUGUCGGCACCUCUGCGGCUUCUUCCUUCCCUCUGUCGUGUCGCCGUCGUCUCGCCGCUCGCCGUCGCGCUCAAAUAGAGGAAGAAUCAUCGCAAGCGCCGUUGUUUCCUCCUCCUCUCGGUCAAGCCGUCUUUUUAUUUUUAUUUGUUUUAGGUUCAUUUUUGUGUUGUUUGGUUUAGUCGAAGCAAUCGGCGAAAAUUUGCAGGUUUGGAGUUGUGUGUAAUCUGUUUAGAUGGUGAAACUUGAAGCUAAUAACUUGUUUGGCUUCUGUUUAUGUAUGUAUUUUAUUCUGGUUUUGUGUAAUAUAGUUUAAAUUAUUGACCGACAAAUGGUGAUAUAAGAAGUACUGUGUGUUAAAUUUGGAAUGCUGAAAGCGACUGGUUGCAUUUUAUGCUUUUAGAGACAUUCCUUUUCUUGUUGGAUUGUGGAGUAUAUUUUGUUGAAAGUAGAACCUUUUUGUUGGUAUCUACUGCCUUUUCAGUAUGCUACUUUCUUUAUGCUGUUAUCUGCGGGCAAGGUGUGGCAAGUUCCACAGAUAUUUUUCACCCUACUUUUUCAAAUUAUACUGUAGAUAUAGAUAGAUAUUUUCAGUUCAUCUUCCAUGCUCUUUUCUUGCUACUGAAAAGGUUACUGAGUGGAUGCUUCGAACUCAUUUCUCUAUUGAUUUUAUUUAUUUAUUUAUUUUUUAAUUGCAGAGGACUUUUGCGUAAUUUGGGCGAAUGAAGUGUUCUAUGAUUUGAAUGGGGAGACGAUGCCAGAGUUGGGAAGUGGAGCUAGAAGGUCGAAAUGGCUUGGUGAUCUUCAGCCUGGUCCACUACCCGUUGAUGAAGGAGAAAAUUGGGUACAACCUGCUCAGAACAGGUCUAGGAGGAGAGUUGGAGGUGGAAGAGGAAGAGGGGAUAAUGCUACAACUAUUUUGUUAACUUAUUAAAUUUGCUGAAUAUAAUAAUUAUUUAUUUAAUGCAUUUAUUACAGGCUUUUCUGUUUUGUUAAUGUCUUAAACUGGUGUUUAUUAUUUUGUUUCGAAAAUAUGAGAUAGUUGUAGAAUUUUGAUAUUUUUAGAACAAAAUUUAUUAUAUAUUUUUAUAUUGGUUCUUGUCAUGCUUAUUCAAGCAUGCAGUGAAGGUUUGUUCUUAAUUUUUUGUUACCUCUCAUGAGUUGGUUAUUCUUUUGGUGGUACAGGUACAAGUUGGUAACUCUCAUGUUUACAAGAUAGAAAGAAAAUUGGGUAAAGGUGGAUUUGGCCAAGUUUAUGUUGGCAGAAGGAUGAGUGGUGGUUCUGAUCGAACUGGUCCUGAUGUAAUUGAGGUGAUGUUAAAAAUUCAAUCUCUUUUUAAGGAUUUACUGAAAUACUAAUAAAUCCUACAUGGGAUGAUACAUUGGCAUGAUAAAUUGGUCUACAUGUUGAUUAUGAUCAGAGACCUGAUAUAUUUAGGGGAACAAUUAGGUAUGCAAGUGUACAUGCACAUUUAGGUAGGAUUGGAAGCCAAAGGGAUGAUCUUGAGUCCCUUGCAUACACGUUAAUAUUUCUCAUAAAAGGGAGAUACCAUGGCAGGGUUAUCAGGGUGACAAUAAAAGCUUUCUUGUUUGUAAGAAAAAGAUGGCCACUUCUCCAGAGUUGAUGUCCUGCUUUUGUCCUCCACGGAGCUGUAAAACAGAUGUUCGAUAUAUUGGAGGCUCAGAAUGCAGAGCACAACAUGAAAGUAACGUUCCUAGAGCUUUACAAUGAGAAAAUAACAGAUCGUGUUGCUCUUGAGGAGACUGUAAAAUUUGUAGAUGAUAAGUCUAAAAGUUCUUUCGCUCUUAUGGAGGAUUGGAAAGGGGGCUUCCAUUGAUAAUCCAGGAAGAAUUGAUUAAAAAUUUUUUACACAUAUACUUCAUAUGUCUUAGCAAUAUAAGAACAGAUCUGUAAAAUAAAUUGAUAUAUAUUGCAUGGGGUUUUUUUCUUCUAGUCAAC